ensembl:snoRNA
GAGUGAAAUGAUGCUUAACCAUCUUUCGGGACUUACCCAACAAUGGGGAUAUUUUUUUUUCUUCACUGAUCACUC